rnacentral:lncRNA from 1 species
GGAACAAUUGGAGGGACAUGAAAGACGACCAAGUUAAGUGAUACCACAGAGUCCUUAUUUUAAAGUAUGGUAAUAAUACUGCCUUUUAGCUGGGCGAACAACUCUUCACUUAUGUCUUUUGGGGAGUAUAAGUUUGAAGACCAAUGAGGGAAAUGCAUGAUUUUUGUAAUUUACAUGGGAAUAGUAUUUACAGAAAGAGAUGGAGAGUAAAAAAAAAAAAAAAAAAGAAAUGAGAAACAAUCUCAAUUGCUGGGAGAGCAGGCACGCUUAAGUUCACACUGAAAACUUACAUUUCAAAGUCAAGGGUGUUUCCUGAUGGGAUGGGAAAGGAUGUUUCUGCAGGGGCUCUGAUUGACAUAAGUGACAUGAACAUCCCGAAGAAAUACCACCGAAGACUCAAGGGACAGGUAGCAGUGGAUCUGGAAAACCGAGAGACAGUUCCAGGCAAAAAGAGCAGUGUCUGCAGACUGACUCAUCUUCCUACAGUAACAAGCGUGCAUUCAAGGGCAAUGUGGAAUGGGAAGCCGGGGCUUAGACACUGAGAGGUGACAGGCAGGAAGAUGAGGUCCCACAGGGCUUGUGGUGUGUGUGUGGAUGUGAGUGCAUGUGCGUGUGCGUGUGCGUGUGCGUGCGUUGGAGGGAGUCAUCUGGACUUCAUUCUCAGCACAUUGUAAAGAGGAGGGGUGUGUUUCUGAAAGAGGCCAGUUAACUGAUACGAGGCUACAAGGGCCCAGUCGCUCCUGUUCCAAACACUUAAUCUAUACUACUUCGUUUAGUUUUGGCUUUGCCCUUACCAAUUAUGUGCACAUUAGCUUUUUGUCUUUGAGACAUAAGCAAACCAGGCUCAGAAGCAUCAAGUAGCAGUCCAAGGUCACCACAGAGCUGAAGGACACAGGAUUCAAACGGAGGCAGCCCGACUUCAAGACCUAUGCCGCCCUGACCAUCACACCACAGCAUUGCUCAAAUGCACUCAUCUUUCCAUAUGUGGACUUGGUCAACAAUUUCAGGCAAGAAACCUUCUUGUGGAACAGUUAUAUAGGUCCAGGCAGCAGGCAGUGGAGUCUUGAACUAGGGUAGUAGCAGUAGAGAUGGAGACAAAGGAGAGGGGACCAAUCUCAACAGGUAUUUGUGACUGAGCUGUCAUUUUGGGGGAAGUCAAAAAAGAGGUCAAUUUGUUCCCUACUGAAAAUCCAAGCUUGCAUCACAUGAGCCUGAGAAACGGGACAGAAUAAGGGAGCGUGGAAAUGUUCUAUUCACUAAAAACUUAGGAAAGCACUAACAGACCCUUAGUGUCCGCUCCCACUGUGUGGGGUGGGCUGUUGUGCAGCCAACGCACAUUCCUCUUGUCCUGGCCUCUGCUAAGCAUCACUUUUGAUGCAACUUGUCAUUUGUGCUCUCUGUGCCCUGUAAUCUGCAGCUGCUAUAGUAUGUAGGUCAUCCCUGUACCCUCCGUUGAUUGGCAACACAGUCAAACCAUGGUUCCUGGUCCCUUCUCUUAAUGGUCUCUCAACAUGGCAAGCGCGGCCUUAGCCUUAGAUGACAGGAUCACACAUCUGUGUGUGCUCACCAGAAGCCCUUGAUCCGUGGGCCUCUUCAGAAUGCUUAACAGGGAUGAGGAAUUAAGCAAAUAUUG